GCUCGCGCCUCUCCCUCCACACCUCCCUGCAAGCUGAGGGAGUGGACUCUGGCCUUGGCCAGCCCAGAAAGGGGCUCCCACAGUGCAGCCGUGGGCUGAAGGGCUCCUCAAGUGCCGCCAAAGUGGGAGCCCAGGCAGAGGAGUCGCCGAGAGCGAGCGCGGGCUGUGAGGACUGCCAGCACGCUGUCACCUCUCAAUAACGCCCAUCCCAACGUUUCCUGAGGAAUAAUUUUGGUCGUGUUCCUGCUACUCAGCUUUUCGUGGUUCCUGCUCAUUUUCAGAGUCUAACAUUCCAGCUUUUCCGGAAAUUCUAAGUCUGCAGUGGGGAGAAGUGGUGAGGUGGUCACACACAUUCUGGUCCAUGUCCCUACCAAGUUUCUACUCUUCUUCCCACAAGGCUGCCUCUGACUUGAGGGUUCAAGAGAAGAAGAGGAAAGAGAUACUUUGAUGUAAAAGUUUUCAAAGAAAUGCUUUGGGCAGAAGAGACUCAUGGAAACUGGACACUAUAUCUGGAGCCAGGAAUAAUAGGAUCCGAGAAACAGUAACAAGUAUAAAACAAAGUGGUCUUGAACUCCUGGCCUCAAGUAAUCCUCCCCACUGGGCUUCCCAAAGUGCUGGGACUACAGAG
rnacentral:lncRNA from 1 species